CCCUACACAUGCAAGUCGAACGGUAACAGGAAGCAGCUUGCUGCUUCGCUGACGAGUGGCGGACGGGUGAGUAAUGUCUGGGAAACUGCCUGAUGGAGGGGGAUAACUACUGGAAACGGUAGCUAAUACCGCAUAACGUCGCAAGACCAAAGAGGGGGACCUUCGGGCCUCUUGCCAUCGGAUGUGCCCAGAUGGGAUUAGCUAGUAGGUGGGGUAACGGCUCACCUAGGCGACGAUCCCUAGCUGGUCUGAGAGGAUGACCAGCCACACUGGAACUGAGACACGGUCCAGACUCCUACGGGAGGCAGCAGUGGGGAAUAUUGCACAAUGGGCGCAAGCCUGAUGCAGCCAUGCCGCGUGUAUGAAGAAGGCCUUCGGGUUGUAAAGUACUUUCAGCGGGGAGGAAGGCGAUAAGGUUAAUAACCUUGUCGAUUGACGUUACCCGCAGAAGAAGCACCGGCUAACUCCGUGCCAGCAGCCGCGGUAAUACGGAGGGUGCAAGCGUUAAUCGGAAUUACUGGGCGUAAAGCGCACGCAGGCGGUCUGUCAAGUCGGAUGUGAAAUCCCCGGGCUCAACCUGGGAACUGCAUUCGAAACUGGCAGGCUAGAGUCUUGUAGAGGGGGGUAGAAUUCCAGGUGUAGCGGUGAAAUGCGUAGAGAUCUGGAGGAAUACCGGUGGCGAAGGCGGCCCCCUGGACAAAGACUGACGCUC
rnacentral:rRNA from 1 species